rnacentral:rRNA from 1 species
GACGAACGCUGGCGGCGUGCUUAACACAUGCAAGUCGAACGGUGAAGCUCCAGCUUGCUGGAGUGGAUCAGUGGCGAACGGGUGAGUAACACGUGAGCAACCUGCCCCUGACUCUGGAAUAAGCGCUGGAAACGGCGUCUAAUACUGGAUACGAGAAGGGUCCGCAUGGGCACUUUCUGGAAAGUUUUUCGGUUGGGGAUGGGCUCGCGGCCUAUCAGCUUGUUGGUGAGGUAAUGGCUCACCAAGGCGACGACGGGUAGCCGGCCUGAGAGGGCGACCGGCCACACUGGGACUGAGACACGGCCCAGACUCCUACGGGAGGCAGCAGUGGGGAAUAUUGCACAAUGGGCGAAAGCCUGAUGCAGCGACGCCGCGUGAGGGAUGACGGCCUUCGGGUUGUAAACCUCUUUCAGCAGGGAAGAAGCGAAAGUGACGGUACCCGCAGAAGAAGCACCGGCUAACUACGUG